CCCUUAGAUGUUCUGGGCUGCACGCGCGCUACACUGAAGCUAUCAACACGUAUUCCCUCCCUGAGAAGGGCGGGUAACCUUUUGAAUCAGCUUCGUGGUAGGGAUCGGGGCUUGCAAUUGUUCCCCGUGAACCAGGAAUUCCUAGUAGACGCGAGUCAUAAGCUCGCAUCGAUUAAGUCCCUGCCCUUUGUACACACCGCCCGUCGCUACUACCGAUUGAACGUUUUAGUGAGGCAUUUGGACCGACGCAUCUCAGUUUAACCGCUGGUUUGUGUUGGAAAGACUUCCAAACUUGAGCGUUUAGAGGAAGUAAAAGUCGUAACA
rnacentral:rRNA from 1 species